rnacentral:rRNA from 14 species
GCCUUGGCAGUCAGAGGCGAUGAAAGACGUGGAAGCCUGCGAUAAGGUUCGGGGAGCUGGCAAACAAGCUGUGAUCCGGGCAUUUCUGAAUGGGGAAACCCACCGACUUUCGGGUCGGUAUCUUGCACUGAAUACAUAGGUGUAAGAGGCGAACCGGGGGAACUGAAACAUCUAAGUACCCCGAGGAAAAGAAAUCAACCGAGAUUCCCCCAGUAGCGGCGAGCGAA